rnacentral:rRNA from 1 species
CCUACGGGAUGCAGCAGUGAGGAAUAUUGGUCAAUGGGCGGAAGCCUGAACCAGCCAAGUAGCGUGAAGGAUGACGGCCCUACGGGUUGUAAACUUCUUUUAUAAGGGAAUAAAAUGUUCCACGUGUGGGAUUUUGUAUGUACCCUGUGAAUAAGGAUCGGCUAACUCCGUGCCCGCAGCCGCGGUAAUACGGGGGAGCCGAGCGUUAACCGGAUUUAUUGGGUUUAAAGGGGGUGUAGGGGGGUUGUUAAGUCAGUUGUGAAAGUUUGCGGCUCAACCGUAAAAUUGCAGUUGAAACUGGCAGUCUUGAGUACAGGAGAGGUGGGCGGAAUUCGUGGUGUAGCGGUGAAAUGCUUAGAUAUCACGAAGAACUCCGAUUGCGAAGGCAGCUCACUGGACUGCAACUGACACUGAGGCUCGAAAGUGUGGGUAUCAAACAGGAUUAGAUACCCGAGUAGUC